GACGAACGCUGGCGGCGUGCUUAACACAUGCAAGUCGAACGGAAAGGCCCUGCUUUUGUGGGGUGCUCGAGUGGCGAACGGGUGAGUAACACGUGAGUAACCUGCCCUUGACUUUGGGAUAACUUCAGGAAACUGGGGCUAAUACCGGUUAGGAGCUCCUGCUGCAUGGUGGGGGUUGGAAAGUUUCGGCGGUUGGGGAUGGACUCGCGGCUUAUCAGCUUGUUGGUGGGGUAGUGGCUUACCAAGGCUUUGACGGGUAGCCGGCCUGAGAGGGUGACCGGCCACAUUGGGACUGAGAUACGGCCCAGACUCCUACGGGAGGUAGCAGUGGGGAAUAUUGCACAAUGGGCGGAAGCCUGAUGCAGCAACGCCGCGUGCGGGAUGACGGCCUUCGGGUUGUAAACCGCUUUCGCCUGUGACGAAGCGUGAGUGACGGUAAUGGGUAAAGAAGCACCGGCUAACUACGUG
rnacentral:rRNA from 1 species